rnacentral:rRNA from 1 species
ACUCCUACGGGAGGCAGCAGUAGGGAAUCUUCCACAAUGGACGAAAGUCUGAUGGAGCAACGCCGCGUGAGUGAUGAAGGGUUUCGACUCGUAAAACUCUGUUGUUGGAGAAGAACAGGUGAUAGAGUAACUGUUAUCAUCUUGACGGUAUCCAACCAGAAAGCCACGGCUAACUACGUGCCAGCAGCCGCGGUAAUAC